AGAUAAGAUAACUCAUAUUGAAGAGAAAUCUUACAAGUGUGAAUAAUGUGGUAAAGUCUAUAAAAAGUCCUGAAUUCUUAACAGACAUAAGAUUAUUCAUACUGGAGAGAAACUCUACAAACCUGAAAGAUGUGCCAACGCUUUUGACACGUCAAACUUUUCUAAACAUCAAGAAAAUCAUGCUGCUGAGAAAUCCUAGAAAUGUGAAGAAUGUGACAAAGCCUCUAAAUGAUUGUCACACUUGAUCGUAGGUAAGAUAAUUCAUACUGGAGAAAACUACCAGUGUGAACAAUGUGGCCAAGCUUUGAACCAAUGCUCACACCUUAAUGCAUAGGAAAGCAUUUAUACUUGAGAAAAAGUGAACAAAUAUAGACAAAAAGCCAUUAAUACCUGCUCACAUCGUACUCAAAAUCAGAGCGUUCAUACUAAAUAAGAAGUGUAAUUACUGUCAAACGAUUGAUCAGAAAAUAUGUCUUUAAAGUACAGAAGAGUAUUUAUUUUGAAAAAGCAUUACAAAUAUGAAGAGGCAUUAUUUAUGACCUUUUCUAUGGAAAGACAGAGUCUUGCUCCAUCGCCAGGCUGGAGUGCAGUGGCGCAAUCUCGUCCCACUGCUCACUGCAACCUCUGCCUCCCCUAUUGAAGUGAUUCUCCUGUCUCAGCCUCCUGAGUAGCUGGGACUACAGGCACACACCACCACGCUCAGCUAAUUUUUGUAUUUUCAGAAGAGACGGGGU
rnacentral:sRNA from 1 species